GGAUGAACGCUGGCGGCGUGCCUACCCCAUGCAAGUCGAACGGAGUCCAGCCUUUAAGCCCUUCGGGUCAAAGAGGGGAAGACUGAGUGGCGGACGGGUGAGUAACACGUGGGCAACCUGGCUCAUAGAGGGGGAUAACAGAGAGAAAUUUCUGCUAAUACCGCAUAAGCACACACUGCCGCAUGGCAGAGGGUGAAAAGAGAAUCGCUAUGAGAUGGACCCGCGUCUGAUUAGCCAGUUGGCAGGGUAAGAGCCUACCAAAGCGACGAUCAGUAGCCGAUCUGAGAGGAUGAACGGCCACAUUGGGACUGAGACACGGCCCAAACUCCUACGGGAGGCAGCAGUGGGGGAUAUUGCACAAUGGGGGGAACCCUGAUGCAGCGACGCCGCGUGAGUGAAGAAGUAUUUCGGUAUGUAAAGCUCUAUCAGCAGGGAAGAUAAUGACAGUACCUGAAGAAGAAGCCCCGGCUAACUACGUG
rnacentral:rRNA from 1 species